rnacentral:rRNA from 1 species
GAAUUUUGGACAAUGGGGGAAACCCUGAUCCAGCCAUCCCGCGUGUGCGAUGAAGGCCUUCGGGUUGUAAAGCACUUUUGGCAGGGAAGAAAAGGCGUUGGCUAAUAUCCAGCGCCGCUGACGGUACCUGCAGAAUAAGCACCGGCUAACUACGUGCCAGCAGCCGCGGUAAUACGUAGGGUGCAAGCGUUAAUCGGAAUUACUGGGCGUAAAGCGUGCGCAGGCGGUUUGGCAAGAAGGAUGUGAAAUCCCAGGGCUUAACCUUGGAACUGCAUUCUUAACUGCCAGGCUAGAGUAUGUCAGAGGGGGGUAGAAUUCCACGUGUAGCAGUGAAAUGCGUAGAGAUGUGGAGGAAUACCGAUGGCGAAGGCAGCCCCCUGGGAUAAUACUGACGCUCAUGCACGAAAGCGUGGGGAGCAAACAG